GGGGAAUUGAAAGAAGAACAGAAUAACAAAGACAUCUGCUGACAGAGUGGUGUUAUAUGAUUUCAGCUCCGUUAAAACUCUAUUCAAGAAAUCUAUGCCAGCUCCUGAUUGGUUAUGAAACAGCAAGAAUCCAAGUCUGGAGUGGCUCAGCACUCUGUCUGACACCAUCACUGGUUGGCUCUUUGUGGUGGUGGGAAAUGUAAUAAACUGUAAUUGGAACAUUUGAA